rnacentral:rRNA from 1 species
GCAGUCGACGAUGACCACUUCGGUGGGGAUUAGUGGCGAACGGGUGAGUAACACGUGGGCAAUCUGCCCUGCACUCUGGGACAAGCCCUGGAAACGGGGUCUAAUACCGGAUACUGACCCGCUUGGGCAUCCAAGCGGUUCGAAAGCUCCGGCGGUGCAGGAUGAGCCCGCGGCCUAUCAGCUAGUUGGUGAGGUAAUGGCUCACCAAGGCGACGACGGGUAGCCGGCCUGAGAGGGCGACCGGCCACACUGGGACUGAGACACGGCCCAGACUCCUACGGGAGGCAGCAGUGGGGAAUAUUGCACAAUGGGCGAAAGCCUGAUGCAGCGACGCCGCGUGAGGGAUGACGGCCUUCGGGUUGUAAACCUCUUUCAGCAGGGAAGAAGCGAAAGUGACGGUACCUGCAGAAGAAGCGCCGGCUAACUACGUGCCAGCAGCCGCGGUAAUACGUAGGGCGCGAGCGUUGUCCGGAAUUAUUGGGCGUAAAGAGCUCGUAGGCGGCUUGUCACGUCGGUUGUGAAAGCCCGGGGCUUAACCCCGGGUCUGCAGUCGAUACGGGCAGGCUAGAGUUCGGUAGGGGAGAUCGGAAUUCCUGGUGUAGCGGUGAAAUGCGCAGAUAUCAGGAGGAACACCGGUGGCGAAGGCGGAUCUCUGGGCCGAUACUGACGCUGAGGAGCGAAAGCGUGGGGAGCG